rnacentral:precursor_RNA from 14 species
GGUGUCCCAAAUAACAUCUGUUGGGUGGACCCUCUCAAUGGAGAGUAAAUUGGCAAUUGUCGACAUCUAAUUGCACUUCAUUGUGGGGCUUCAAACUAUCAUAUUGAGUCUUCAGCAGCAG